rnacentral:rRNA from 1 species
UACGGAGGGUCCAAGCGUUAUCCGGAAUCAUUGGGUUUAAAGGGUGCGCAGGCGGUAGUGUAAGUCAGUGGUGAAAUCUCUCGGCUCAACCGAGAAACUGCCAUUGAUACUGCAGUACUUGAAUACAGUUGAAGUAGGCGGAAUGUGUAGUGUAGCGGUGAAAUGCUUAGAUAUUACACAGAACACCGAUAGCGAAGGCAGCUUACUAAACUGAUAUUGACGCUCAUGCACGAAAGCGUGGGGAGCGAAC